rnacentral:rRNA from 1 species
GGUUAAGCGACUAAGCGUACACGGUGGAUGCCCUGGCAGUCAGAGGCGAUGAAGGACGUGCUAAUCUGCGAUAAGCGUCGGUAAGGUGAUAUGAACCGUUAUAACCGGCGAUUUCCGAAUGGGGAAACCCAGUGUGUUUCGACACACUAUCAUUAACUGAAUCCAUAGGUUAAUGAGGCGAACCGGGGGAACUGAAACAUCUAAGUACCCCGAGGAAAAGAAAUCAACCGAGAUUCCCCCAGUAGCGGCGAGCGAACGGGGAGCAGCCCAGAGCCUGAAUCAGUGUGUGUGUUAGUGGAAGCGUCUGGAAAGGCGCGCGAUACAGGGUGACAGCCCCGUACACAAAAAUGCACAUGCUGUGAGCUCGAUGAGUAGGGCGGGACACGUGGUAUCCUGUCUGAAUAUGGGGGGACCAUCCUCCAAGGCUAAAUACUCCUGACUGACCGAUAGUGAACCAGUACCGUGAGGGAAAGGCGAAAAGAACCCCGGCGAGGGGAGUGAAAAAGAACCUGAAACCGUGUACGUACAAGCAGUGGGAGCACGCUUAGGCGUGUGACUGCGUACCUUUUGUAUAAUGGGUCAGCGACUUAUAUUCUGUAGCAAGGUUAACCGAAUAGGGGAGCCGAAGGGAAACCGAGUCUUAACUGGGCGUUAAGUUGCAGGGUAUAGACCCGAAACCCGGUGAUCUAGCCAUGGGCAGGUUGAAGGUUGGGUAACACUAACUGGAGGACCGAACCGACUAAUGUUGAAAAAUUAGCGGAUGACUUGUGGCUGGGGGUGAAAGGCCAAUCAAACCGGGAGAUAGCUGGUUCUCCCCGAAAGCUAUUUAGGUAGCGCCUCGUGAAUUCAUCUCCGGGGGUAGAGCACUGUUUCGGCAAGGGGGUCAUCCCGACUUACCAACCCGAUGCAAACUGCGAAUACCGGAGAAUGUUAUCACGGGAGACACACGGCGGGUGCUAACGUCCGUCGUGAAGAGGGAAACAACCCAGACCGCCAGCUAAGGUCCCAAAGUCAUGGUUAAGUGGGAAACGAUGUGGGAAGGCCCAGACAGCCAGGAUGUUGGCUUAGAAGCAGCCAUCAUUUAAAGAAAGCGUAAUAGCUCACUGGUCGAGUCGGCCUGCGCGGAAGAUGUAACGGGGCUAAACCAUGCACCGAAGCUGCGGCAGCGACACUAUGUGUUGUUGGGUAGGGGAGCGUUCUGUAAGCCUGUGAAGGUGUACUGUGAGGUAUGCUGGAGGUAUCAGAAGUGCGAAUGCUGACAUAAGUAACGAUAAAGCGGGUGAAAAGCCCGCUCGCCGGAAGACCAAGGGUUCCUGUCCAACGUUAAUCGGGGCAGGGUGAGUCGACCCCUAAGGCGAGGCCGAAAGGCGUAGUCGAUGGGAAACAGGUUAAUAUUCCUGUACUUGGUGUUACUGCGAAGGGGGGACGGAGAAGGCUAUGUUGGCCGGGCGACGGUUGUCCCGGUUUAAGCGUGUAGGCUGGUUUUCCAGGCAAAUCCGGAAAAUCAAGGCUGAGGCGUGAUGACGAGGCACUACGGUGCUGAAGCAACAAAUGCCCUGCUUCCAGGAAAAGCCUCUAAGCAUCAGGUAACAUCAAAUCGUACCCCAAACCGACACAGGUGGUCAGGUAGAGAAUACCAAGGCGCUUGAGAGAACUCGGGUGAAGGAACUAGGCAAAAUGGUGCCGUAACUUCGGGAGAAGGCACGCUGAUAUGUAGGUGAAGUCCCUCGCGGAUGGAGCUGAAAUCAGUCGAAGAUACCAGCUGGCUGCAACUGUUUAUUAAAAACACAGCACUGUGCAAACACGAAAGUGGACGUAUACGGUGUGACGCCUGCCCGGUGCCGGAAGGUUAAUUGAUGGGGUCAGCGCAAGCGAAGCUCUUGAUCGAAGCCCCGGUAAACGGCGGCCGUAACUAUAACGGUCCUAAGGUAGCGAAAUUCCUUGUCGGGUAAGUUCCGACCUGCACGAAUGGCGUAAUGAUGGCCAGGCUGUCUCCACCCGAGACUCAGUGAAAUUGAACUCGCUGUGAAGAUGCAGUGUACCCGCGGCAAGACGGAAAGACCCCGUGAACCUUUACUAUAGCUUGACACUGAACAUUGAGCCUUGAUGUGUAGGAUAGGUGGGAGGCUUUGAAGUGUGGACGCCAGUCUGCAUGGAGCCGACCUUGAAAUACCACCCUUUAAUGUUUGAUGUUCUAACGUUGACCCGUGAUCCGGGUUGCGGACAGUGUCUGGUGGGUAGUUUGACUGGGGCGGUCUCCUCCUAAAGAGUAACGGAGGAGCACGAAGGUUGGCUAAUCCUGGUCGGACAUCAGGAGGUUAGUGCAAUGGCAUAAGCCAGCUUGACUGCGAGCGUGACGGCGCGAGCAGGUGCGAAAGCAGGUCAUAGUGAUCCGGUGGUUCUGAAUGGAAGGGCCAUCGCUCAACGGAUAAAAGGUACUCCGGGGAUAACAGGCUGAUACCGCCCAAGAGUUCAUAUCGACGGCGGUGUUUGGCACCUCGAUGUCGGCUCAUCACAUCCUGGGGCUGAAGUAGGUCCCAAGGGUAUGGCUGUUCGCCAUUUAAAGUGGUACGCGAGCUGGGUUUAGAACGUCGUGAGACAGUUCGGUCCCUAUCUGCCGUGGGCGCUGGAGAACUGAGGGGGGCUGCUCCUAGUACGAGAGGACCGGAGUGGACGCAUCACUGGUGUUCGGGUUGUCAUGCCAAUGGCACUGCCCGGUAGCUAAAUGCGGAAGAGAUAAGUGCUGAAAGCAUCUAAGCACGAAACUUGCCCCGAGAUGAGUUCUCCCUGACUCCUUGAGAGUCCUGAAGGAACGUUGAAGACGACGACGUUGAUAGGCCGGGUGUGUAAGCGCAGCGAUGCGUUGAGCUAACCGGUACUAAUGAACCGUGAGGCUUAACCUU